rnacentral:lncRNA from 1 species
GGUGUUGUUGCUUUUCCUUGAUCAAAACUUACCAUUCCAUCAUUGAUCAACCGUUGCACCUUAUACUUUAAAGCAGUGCAAUUUUCAGUAGAAUGGCCAGUAAUUUCAUAGUGGUAGUCACAGCGGGCUGUAGGAUCAUACCACUUUGGAUAGGGUGGUUUAAGCAGUUCCACAUGGCUGGGGGCAAUCAAGUGGCUAUUAUAGAGUUCUCGAUAUAACUCUGUAUAAGUCAUAGGGAUUGGAUCAAAUACAGGUUUUUCUCGAGUAGUCCGUUGUUCUCGUGAGCCACUUGCUGGGUUAGUAGGGC